rnacentral:lncRNA from 1 species
GAUAAGUAACUGGAAAUAAAACAAUGAAGAAGAAAAGAUCGUCGGCAGGUAGUAAACAGCUGGUGUCCAGCAAUCAACAGCCACAAAUCACAGAUGAUCUCAACCCAGAAAUAUCUCAAAGGUUUCAGAAAUAUUGUAAAACCAAAACCAGUCUCGAUAGCAGGCCAAACACGACACCAAAAUAAAACAAGUAAACUCGAAAAUGCACCUAGAAGCACUAAAACCUUCAGCUAACUAAAGCUCUGUCAAAAGCCAAUUCAACUGGAACCAAAUCAUUCAACAACCUUCUGAUAACUCUCUGAAGCCUCAAACAUCAGAUUUUGAACUAGAGAUGAAGAUCAGAUGCUCAAAAUUUGAAAUUAACUCAAAAUUUCAAUGGAACAGUCUGUUUUUGGUUUU